AUGCCCUGUGCCUCGCUCGGUUGAAUGUAUCUGAAACUUUCAAUCUUGAGCUGGAUGGUUAAUGUUUAUUGUUCAAUUAUGAAUUAACGAAACAUUUAUGACUAAUGGGCCACAUCGAGUUGACUUCUUUUGAGUACGAAAAGGCCCUAUUUUGAAAUCAAUGACCUUGACCCGUAAUUAGAAGUUCACACAUUC
rnacentral:snoRNA from 1 species